rnacentral:rRNA from 1 species
CACGUAGGGUGCGAGCGUUGUCCGGAAUUAUUGGGCGUAAAGAGCUCGUAGGCGGUGUGUCGUGUCGGCCGUGAAAGCCUGUGGCUUAACCAUGGGCUUGCGGUCGAUACGGGCAUCACUGGAGUUCGGCAGGGGAGACUGGAAUUCCUGGUGUAGCGGUGAAAUGCGCAGAUAUCAGGAGGAACACCGGUGGCGAAGGCGGGUCUCUGGGCCGAUACUGACGCUGAGGAGCGAAAGCGUGGGUAGCAAACAGG